GUGAAUGAUUUCCUGACUUUUUUUCUUUGUUUUUUUUUUCUUAUUUUUAUUUUUUGAGACAGUAUCCCAGAGUACAGAGCAAGCUGGAGUUGGACUUUUGACCCCCCUGCCUUAGCCUCCCAAGUGCUGGAAUUAUAGGUGUGUUAUUGCCCCUGGCCUUGCAUGAGUGUAUUCUGGCUGUCUUGCUGUCUGCCUCCAUCAGGGACAGAAGCUCUUUAACACAGGCAACCCAGAUAGAAGCCUUUUUUUUGAGGUCAGGCAGACCAGUUGUGCCUUGUGGAUUUCUGGACCACGGACAAGAAGGUCUCCAGCUGACUUGGUAAUGGCAGCCAUAUUUUCAAAACCUCAGAUUGGGAUCUGGUGUCUGACCAAGGCUUGAGUUCUCUUUCAUGAAUGUAGUCAUGUGCUCUUCUCACCAAGGGAUAGAAUGACAUCACCUGCCAUUAGGCAGUUUAUGGAUUGCCUUUUGCAGGGAAAGUGGUGGGAUGUUGGGACCACCAAGAACUCAGUGACCAGUGCCUUUGGAACUGUCUACAGAUAGUGAUUUUUGAAAGCUGGUGCAGUCUUGACUCAGGCAUGAAGGGAGCCACUCUGCCUUACAGACUGAGCCAGGCUGGGCCACACGGCAUAGCUUAGGGUCCCUGUGGUUAAUGAGCUCACCCUUAGGCUGCCGGCCGGCUGGUCUGCUGCAAGCUGCCAGCUUCCUGAGUUGUGAAUCAGCCUAGGCUGUCACUUGAUUCAUCCUGACCAAGGAACCUUGGGAACCUCCCCAAACCUGAGUACUUUAGCCCAAAGAUGAGUAGUCACAGGGAGGUCUGUCCAUCCCAACCCUACUCUGCCCUCCAGUUUCCUUGUUGUUUCUUUGAGAUUAGAAUUCAAGGCAUUGUUAAGAAGCCGAAGUCCCACCCACAGUGGCCCCACCCUGUUGGAGGAGGCUGUGGGGCUUUGGAAAGGGACUCAUAGGCACACACAUUGUUUCUUUGAGAUCCCACUGAAUUAAACUCCUUUGUCCUACACUUAAUUCCAGGGGAAUUAGUCAGCAUUAAUGAGUAGUAGCUCAUCCUACUUUCCUCUCCGCCUGGAAGUCCACCCACUAGCUUCUCCUUCCAAACCCAUGGUUUUCAGUGCUUGUUUGGAGGCCCUUAGUUCUGUGAAGUUAACUCUUAAAGGGCCUCACUGGAUGAAGAGGCAAAGGCAGGAUGCACUGAGGCGUGCCUAGGCACCCUAUCAGGACCACUUCACAUUUUAUCCAUUGUCUCUUUACCACAGGUGUCAAGGCUCAGCUCUUCUCCUCCUCCUCACCAUCAGAUACCCUUCUGUGAUGUGAUAAGGACCAUGACUGAAAGCAUCUUGGGGAGGAAAAGGUGUAUUUCAGCUUUUGCUUCCAGAUCCAUCGUGAAAGGAUACUGCCCAGGGAGUCAAGGCAGGAACCUGGAGGAAGGAGCCAAGACCACCAUGGAGGAGCACUGCUCACUGGCUUGCUCUCUCAUUGCUUGUUCAUUUUACUUUCUUAAGCAACCCGGGACCAUCUGCCCAGGGUGCUCUGGGCCCUCCCACAUGAAUAAUUAAUCAGGGAAUAUCCCAACGAUUUGCCUACCGGCCAAUCUGAUGAAAACCGAUUCCUCGAUUGACACUCCCUCUUCCCAGGUGAUCCGGGGCUGACAAAAAACUAACCAGCACACAUCUUGAAAGUGAGACUCGGGCUAGCCUCUGCCCCUUUGGUCAGUGCUGUCAGGUCCCUUUGGACAGUUUUACUCUUAUCAGCUGUCACUGGUGGGAUGAGGAUGCGGUGCUUCACGAAGAAAGUUCAUUUCAGAGGGCAGCAUGGUCAGACUGGAGAGGAUGAGAGCAAAGCUGGGGUCGGGGGGACAGAAGCUGGGACCUCACAUCCUGGGGAGGAGGACCCCAUGCCCACCUUUAUGUUGUGCAGCUCACUGGGGACUGGAGAAAGAUGGGGCUGGAGGAUGACAUCUCCACCUUCCUGGUUCGCCUACACCCUUCUCUUCGAUGUCCCUCAGCAAAUAGGCCUUGUGCACCACCUGCUGUCCAGAUUGUGAAUGGUAUACUAACAUUCCAUGCAUUGUUUGAGUUUAUUCAGAUUAUGGUCAAGCAGUCUCCACCCGGCUUCUUCUCUACUCCUGCGUGGCUUUCUGAGAACCCAUAGCAGUGGUUCUCAACCUUCCUAAUGCCACGACCCUUUAAUACAGUUCCUCGUGUUAUGAUGACCCCCCAACAAUAAAAUUAUUUCAUUGCUACUUCAUAACUAAUUUUGUUUCUGUUAUGAAUCACAGUGUAAGUAUUUAACAUGCAGGAUAUCAGCUCUGUGACCCCUGUGGAGUCACGCCCCACAGGUUGAGAACCAUUACCUUAUAGCAUGCUUGCUGAACACGAGUAGACAUGAACCGACUGCAGCAGAGGUAACUUUGGCUUGCGCCAAUGAGGUUUUAACCUCUCCCUAGAGAGGCUGGGGAGGCCCUGGAGUAAGAAAUAAAAAUAUGAUUCUGCAGUCCUAAAGCUCAGUCUACUGGGAAGGCUUGUGGGAAGCACACAAGCAGCUAAUUGAAAUGACAACGUUGUGAGGGAGACAAUGAGGACACAGAGAGUGAUGUGAGCUACACUGAUGCCUGUCAGAGAGGUAGCAGUAUUUACCGGAGCCCGGAGGGAUGGGCAGGCAUUCACAGGAAGGGAAGAACAACUGACUGGCUUUCCAGGUGGGUGGAAUGGCAAAUGCAAAAAUUAAGGACAUUUAAGCAUCUAUCACCUCUUCUGGGAGCAGCAAGAAGUGACUUGGGAACAACUGUUUGCAUUCUGUAACAAGUCCUCCCAGGCUUCUUGAGAUGUGUUUGUAGGUAAAUCUUUGUAAAGGGUGUGUCUGUCUGUGAUUUGCCUUCAUUCUCUACACAUCAUAUUUUAGAGACCCCCC
ensembl:lncRNA